CCUACGGGAGGCAGCAGUGAGGAAUAUUGGUCAAUGGGCGCAAGCCUGAACCAGCCAAGUCGCGUGAGGGAUGACGGUCCUAUGGAUUGUAAACCUCUUUUGUCGGGGAGCAAGGCCCGCCACGUGUGGCGGGAAGGAGAGUACCCGAAGAAAAAGCAUCGGCUAACUCCGUGCCAGCAGCCGCGGUAAUACGGAGGAUGCGAGCGUUAUCCGGAUUUAUUGGGUUUAAAGGGUGCGUAGGCGGAAGGUUAAGUCAGCGGUCAAAUGUCGGUGCUCAACACCGGCCUGCCGUUGAAACUGGUCGUCUUGAGUGAGCGAGAAGUAUGCGGAAUGCGUGGUGUAGCGGUGAAAUGCAUAGAUAUCACGCAGAACGCCGAUUGCGAAGGCAGCAUACCGGCGCUCAACUGACGCUGAGGCACGAAAGCGUGGGGAUCGAACAGGAUUAGAUACCCUUGUAGUC
rnacentral:rRNA from 1 species